rnacentral:tRNA from 1 species
GGAGAGAUGGCCGAGUUUGGAUUAAGGCGUCAGUUUCGAAAACUGAUAUAUAGAGCGAUCUAUAUCGAGGGUUCGAAUCCCUCUCUCUCCG